rnacentral:rRNA from 1 species
AGUGAACGCUGGCGGUAGGCCUAACACAUGCAAGUCGAACGGCAGCACAGUAAGAUCUUUCUCUUACGGGUUGCGAGUGGCGUACGUGUGAGGUAUACAUCGUAAUCUACUUUUUCGUGUGGGAUUACGUAGGGAAACUUACUCUAAUACCGCAUACGACCUACGGUUGAAAUCAUUGGAUCUUCGCACCUUUCGCGAUUGAAUUAGCCGAUGUCGGAUUAGCUAGUUGGCGUGGUAAAGGCCCACCAAGGCGACGAUCCGUAGCUGGUCUGAGUGGAUGAUCAGCCAAACUGGAAGUGAGACACGGUCAAGACACCUACGGGAGGAAGAAGAGGGGAAUAUUGGAAAAUGGGGGAAAGCGUGAUCAAGCAAGACCGCGUGGGUGAAGAAGGACUUCGGGUUGUAAAGCCCGUUUGUUGGGAAAGAAAAGCAGGAGGUUAAAAACACGAUGUUGUGACGGUACCAAAAGAAUAAGCACCGGCUAACUACGUG